GUUCCUCAUCCUGUCUGGUGCCUGCUUCCUCUGGAAGGGGUUUUUGUUGUGCCUGGAUUAAAGAUUCAGAGACCUGAGAGUUGUGAAAAAUAACCUGUAGAGGAGCAAAUAUGAGUAUCAUGCUACCAGUAUGGCCCCCUUGGUCUUCCCAGAGGUCACUUUUCAACAGGUUACUCUCCUUCCUUGUUGUUUUUUUACAACCAAAGCUGGCCCUUUCAGUGCUUCCUGGAUCUUUGCAAGACACAAACAGUGAAGAUACAAGAGUUUUUCUUCUUGAGUAAUGCUCCUGCCAGCUUCCUAAGGAGU